AUUGAACGCUGGCGGCAUGCCUUACACAUGCAAGUCGAACGGCAGCGCGGGAGCAAUCCUGGCGGCGAGUGGCGAACGGGUGAGUAAUAUAUCGGAACGUGCCCAGUAGUGGGGGAUAGCCCGGCGAAAGCCGGAUUAAUACCGCAUACGACCUACGGGUGAAAGGGGGGGAUCGCAAGACCUCUCGCUAUUGGAGCGGCCGAUAUCAGAUUAGGUAGUUGGUGGGGUAAAGGCCUACCAAGCCUGCGAUCUGUAGUUGGUCUGAGAGGACGACCAGCCACACUGGGACUGAGACACGGCCCAGACUCCUACGGGAGGCAGCAGUGGGGAAUUUUGGACAAUGGGGGCAACCCUGAUCCAGCAAUGCCGCGUGCAGGAAGAAGGCCUUCGGGUUGUAAACUGCUUUUGUCAGGGAAGAAAUCUUCUGGGCUAAUACCUCGGGAGGAUGACGGUACCUGAAGAAUAAGCACCGGCUAACUACGUGCCAGCCGCCGCCGUAAAAC
rnacentral:rRNA from 1 species